CAGUAGCCGCGGGAAAACGGAGGGAGCUAGCGUUGUUCGGAAUUACUGGGCGUAAAGCGCGCGUAGGCGGUUACUCAAGUCAGAGGUGAAAGCCCGGGGCUCAACCCCGGAACUGCCUUUGAAACUAGGUGACUAGAAUCUUGGAGAGGUCAGUGGAAUUCCGAGUGUAGAGGUGAAAUUCGUAGAUAUUCGGAAGAACACCAGUGGCGAAGGCGACUGACUGGACAAGUAUUGACGCUGAGGUGCGAAAGCGUGGGGAGCAAACAGGAUUAGAUACCCGCGUAGUCCCUGUCUCUUAUAC
rnacentral:rRNA from 1 species